AGAGUACAGUUGGAGGGCAGUCUGGUGCCAGCAGCCGCGGUAAUUCCAGCUCCAAUAGCGUAUAUUAAACUUGUUGCAGUUAAAAAGCUCGUAGUUGAAUUUCUGCGUUGCCCGACUCGGCUACUUGCCUUGUCUGGUUUCGCUUUUGGGGUUUUCCCCUUUUUACUUUGAGAAAAUUAGAGUGUUUCAAGCAGACUUGUGUCUUGAAUACUUCAGCAUGGAAUAAUAAAGUAGGACUUUGGUUCUAUUUUGUUGGUUUGUGAACCUUAGUAAUGGUUAAUAGGAACGGUUGGGGGCA
rnacentral:rRNA from 1 species